GGGGAAUAUUGGACAAUGGGCGCAAGCCUGAUCCAGCCAUGCCGCGUGUGUGAGGAAGGCCUUAUGGUUGUAAAGCACUCUAAGCGAGGAGGAGGCUCUUUUGGUUAAUACCCAAGAUGAGUGGACGUUACUCGCAGAAUAAGCACCGGCUAACUCUGUGCCAGCAGCCGCGGUAAUACAGAGGGUGCGAGCGUUAAUCGGAUUUACUGGGCGUAAAGCGUGCGUAGGCGGCUUUUUAAGUCGGAUGUGAAAUCCCCGAGCUUAACGUGGGAAUUGCAUUCGAUACUGGGAAGCUAGAGGAUGGGAGAGGAUGGUAGAAUGCCAGGUGUAGCGGUGAAAUGCGUAGAGAUCUGGAGGAAUACCGCUGGCGAAGGCAGCCAUCUGGCCUAAUACUGACGCUGAGGUACGAAAGCAUGCGGAGCAAACA
rnacentral:rRNA from 1 species